UUACAGUCUCUCAUAUGAUGCUAACCUUUUUGUAAUUCAGGUCCUCCCUUAGGCAAAAUGAGGUCCCUUUCUGAAGGAAACAGAAGUUAAAAAAUACAGGGGUUUAAUGGAAAUGAAUGGCUACGCAGAAGCUGACAGACAAUGAGAACUGGCCUGAAGGGGAGAAAAUAGGACUGAAUGGAAGACAGUCUCACCGGUAUUUAAAUCUACGCUUUUAAUCACAUGCACUCUUGUCAGUAAGAAUAUGUCACCAGAAAAUGAACCUGCUCUGUGGGUUGGAAAUUGGAGGACGCUGACUUUGAUGAAAUAAAACCUGAAGCACGUUCCCUUGACCGGAGGGGCUCUCAGCAGGUACAAGGAGGCGAGAACAUCAAUGAUUGAGAGCAAAAUAGGUGAAUAAAUACAAUGGCACACCAUUUUCUGUUGCCUAAUGAGACAAUUAUGGUUUAGAAUUUUAUAAUUAACUGCGACUCUGGAGUUUGUUUUGUCCAGAAAAGAAACAACAACAGUGAUCACUCACUCUGGAAGAAUACCUUUAGAUAUUUUCAUUAA